AUGCCAGUUCUUUGCUUUCACCCGCCCCGGUGCCGAGCCACCUCGCCGCGGCUUUUCAUUGCUCGCCAGCAGCUGGGCGAGGGCGGCGAGCACCAUGAGAUGCUCUUCUUCCUGGACGCCGGCCUCGGCUUCCUCCUCCAGCAGCGCGGCGAGCGCUUCCUCAUCAUCGAGUCCAUCACCGAGGCAGGCAAUUCGCCGAACACCUUGCGCCCGGUGGGCGUGCACCCGCCGCUAAACUGCCCCUCCGCGGCCGGAAACGCCCAACUGCUAUCGAAGGGGCUGCCGCGGCAAACCUCUGCUACCUCUGCUAUUUUUUCCGACGGGGAAUGGCUAUCUAGUGGUGAAAGGCGGCGGGCGGCACCGGGAUAUAGCUAG
rnacentral:rRNA from 1 species